CCCAGACUCCUACGGGAGGCAGCAGUGGGGAAUAUUGCACAAUGGGGGAAACCCUGAUGCAGCGACGCCGCGUGAGUGAAGAAGUAUUUCGGUAUGUAAAGCUCUAUCAGCAGGAAAGAAAAUGACGGUACCUGACUAAGAAGCCCCGGCUAACUACGUGCCAGCAGCCGCGGUAAUACGUAGGGGGCAAGCGUUAUCCGGAUUUACUGGGUGUAAAGGGAGCGUAGACGGUGAAGCAAGUCUGAAGUGAAAGGCGGGGGCUCAACCCCCGGACUGCUUUGGAAACUGUUUGACUGGAGUGCAGGAGAGGUAAGUGGAAUUCCUAGUGUAGCGGUGAAAUGCGUAGAUAUUAGGAGGAACACCAGUGGCGAAGGCGGCCUGCUGGACGAUGACUGACGCUGAGGCUCGAAAGCGUGGGGAGCAAACAGGAUUAGAUACCCUAGUAA
rnacentral:rRNA from 1 species